rnacentral:lncRNA from 1 species
CCCACCAGCAUGUGCUUCAGUGUGAAUAUGCUAAUUAGCUCAUCCCACAAAAUGAACUCACACCUGACCCUAGGUAGAGUUCAAGUGUGUUUGAACCACACUUGGAAGAAGGAAGAGCAGCUUAAGGCAGAGCUAACUACAGACUUAAAAAUGAAGAAAGUGUUUUAGAAGAAAUGUUAUCUCUCUCUGUUGGACCCUUGCACUUCUCCAGAGGUGACUCUAGUAUGGGCUCUGUGUUGAGUCCCAUAGCUUGGGAUUGACUGAGGCAAAACUGAAGUUCACACGUAUGUUGACAUCACUGGGCCAGAAGUCUCUUCAGUCAGUUCUUUUACAACUUUACUGAUUCUAAAAUGUUCUGUCUUUAGAAGUUGUUCCUUAACAUCCCCUUUUAAAUUAAUGCACAGUAUUGUAUACCUAAGAGUGAAAAUGGAAAAUAGACUAUUUACUAAACUGAUAUCUAAUUAUUUUGUCUAAUUACUUGGAAUGCUAAGGCCCCUUAUCAGUAACGCAGUGAAGCACCUUGUAAAAGGGGCUUGGAAACUAUAUAGGAGUGGGCCUAGUACUGUUAAUUAAUAAUAAUUCAGCUGAUAAUGUUGAUAGGUGGAUUCAGACAAGGCCAUAUUCAAGCAUGACAGUGGAGCCAAUUUGUAUGUCAAUAUAUGUAAAUGUAUACUAAUUUAAAUGGGUUAUUUGGCAAGCCAGAGGAAUCCCUGUUUGGCAGCAGAUGAGCAAGGUAUCCCAAAAGAAUACAAAUUAGAAUAAAAUAUUAGAAAAACCUGAUUAACUUUAUUUA